UAGGUCCUACGGGGCGCAGCAGUGGGGAAUAUUGCACAAUGGGGGAAACCCUGAUGCAGCGACGCCGCGUGAGUGAAGAAGUAUUUCGGUAUGUAAAGCUCUAUCAGCAGGGAAGAUAAUGACGGUACCUGACUAAGAAGCCCCGGCUAACUACGUGCCAGCAGCCGCGGUAAUACGUAGGGGGCAAGCGUUAUCCGGAUUUAUUGGGCGUAAAGCGAGCGCAGGCGGUUGCUUA
rnacentral:rRNA from 1 species